AGUGAACGCUGGCGGCGUGCUUAACACAUGCAAGUCGAACGAGAACGGGUUAUAGCUUGCUAUAAUUGUCAGCUAAGUGGCGCACGGGUGAGUAAUGUAUAGGUAAUAUGCCUCUUACUAAGGGAUAACAAAUGGAAACGUUUGCUAAUACCUUAUACUCCUUAUUAACAUAAGUUAAUAAGGGAAAGAUUUAUUGGUAAGAGAUUAGCCUGUAUUGUAUCAGUUAGUUGGUGGGGUAAUGGCUUACCAAGACUAUGACACAUAACUGGUUUGAGAGGAUGAUCAGUCACACUGGAACUGAGACGCGGUCCAGACUCCUACGGGAGGAAGCAGUGGGGAAUAUUGCACAAUGGACGAAAGUCUAAUGCAGCAACGCCGCGUGGAGGAUGACACAUUUCGGUGCGUAAACUCCUUUUAUAUGAGAAGAUAAUGACGGUAUUAUAUGAAUAAGCACCGGCUAACUCCGUGCCAGCAGCCGCCGUAA
rnacentral:rRNA from 1 species